rnacentral:lncRNA from 1 species
CCAUGGUCACCUUGGUCACCUUGGUGGUCAUCGUGGUCACCAUGGUCAUUGUGGUCACCUUGGUCAGCCUGGUGGUCAUGGUGAUCAUUGUGGUCAUGGUGGUCACCUUGGUGCUCAGCGUGGUCACCUUGGUCAGCCUGGUGGUCAUGGUGGUCAUUGUGGUCAUGGUGGUCACCAUGGUGGUCAUUGUGGUCAGCUUCUUGGUCACCCUGCUGGUCUUUGUGGUCACUGUGGUCACCCUGGGGGUCAGUCUGGUGGUCACUCCAGUCACUCUGGUCCUUCUGGUGGUCACUCAGGUCACCCCAGUGGUCACUCAGGUUCUUCUGGUGGUCACUCAGCUUCUUUUGAUGGUCACUCAGGUCACUCUGGUGGUCAUUCUGGUCACUCAGGUUCUUCUGGUGGUCCCUCAGGUCACUCAGGUGGUCACCCUGGUCACUCUGGUCACUCAGGUGGUCAGCCUGGUCACUCUGGUGGUCACUCAGGUCACUCCAGUGGUCACCCUGGUCACUCCGGUGGUCACCCUGGUCCUUUUGGUGGUCACUCAGGUUCUUCAGGUGGUCACUCUGGUGGUCACUGGGGUUCUUCAGGUGGUCACUGGGGUUCUUCAGGUGGUCACUCCGGUGGUCACUCAGGUUCUUCAGGUGGUCACUCUGGUGGUCACUCAGGUUCUUCAGGUGGUCACUCUGGUGGUCACUGAGGUUCUUCAGGUGGUCACUGGGGUGGUCACUCUGGUGGUCACUCUGGUGGUCACUGAGGUUCUUCAGGUGGUCACUGGGGUGGUCACUCUGGUGGUCACUGGGGUGUCCGGAGCUGUCCUGGUGGCCCAGGGCCACCGAGCAGUUGGGGAAGUGCCGGGGCCCCGAGAAGUCGCCCUCGAAGCACCUGGGGGGCAAAUUGGGGUCAAUUUGGGGCUUUUUGGGGCAUUUUGGGGCGUUUUGGGUUAUUUUGGGCCAUUUUGGGGCGUUUUGGGUCAUUUUGGGCCAUUUUGGGGCUAUUUUGGGUCAUUUUGGGGCGUUUUCGGUCAUUUUGGGGCGUUUUGGGCCAUUUUGGGGCGUUUUGGGGCCAUUUUGGGGCUUUUUAGGUCAUUUUGGGCCAUUUUGGGGCAUUUUGGGGCAUUUUGGGCCAUUUUGGGGCGUUUUGGGGCCAUUUUGGGGCUUUUUAGGUCGUUUUGGGCCAUUUUGGGGCCAUUUUAGGGCAUUUUGGGCCAUUUUGGGGCUAUUUUGGGCCAUUUUGGGUCAUUUUGGGCCAUUUUGGGUCAUUUUGGGGCUAUUUUGGGUAAUUUUGGGUCAUUUUGGGUCAUUUUGGGCCAUUUUGGGCCAUUUUGGGGCCAUUUUGGGUCAUUUUGGGGCUUUUAAGGUCAUUUUAGGCCAUUUUGGGGCCAUUUUGGGCAGUUUUUGGGCUUUUGGGGCCAUUUUUGGGCAUUUUGGGGCGUUUCGGGGCAUUUUGGGGCAUUUUGGGGCAUUUUGGGGCUUUUUGGGGGCAUUUUGGGGCGUUUUGGGGCAUUUUGGGGUAUUUUUGGGGCGUUUUGGGGCAUUUUGGGGCUUUUUGGGGUUUUGCUGAGGGGCGGCUUGGGAACCUCAAAAUCAUCCCAAAAAACUCCAAAAUUGGCCAAAAACCACCAAAAUUGGCCCCAAAAAAAACCCCCAAAUUGGCCCAAAACAACCUCAAAAUUGACCCCAAAAAAAACCCAAAAUCGACCCAAAAAACCCCAAAACUGCCCCAAAAAAAACCCCCAAAACUGGCCCAAAACCCCCCAAAACUGGACCCAAAAAAACCUCCAAAAGUGGCCCAAAAAAACCCAAAAUUGGCCAAAAAAACCCCCCAAAAUCGACCCAAAAAACCCCAAAACUGCCCCAAAAAAACCCCAAAACUGGAUCCCAAAAAACCUCCAAAAGUGUCCCAAAAAACCCCAAAACUGCCCAAAAAAAAACCCCCAAAAGUGGCCCAAAAAAACCCCAAAACUGCCCAAAAAAAACCCCCAAAAAUGGCCCAAAAACCCCCAAAUCUGGACCCAAAAAAACCUCCAAAAAUGGCCCAAAAAACCCCAAAACUGCCCCAAAAAAAACCCCAAAAUUGGCCAAAAAAAACCCCCAAAAUCGACCCAAAAAAACCCCAAAAUUGACCAGAAAAAAAUCCCCAAAAGUGGCCCAAAAAAACCCCAAAACUGCCCCAAAAAAACCUCCAAAAAUGGCC